GCUGGGUGUGGUGGCGUAUGCCUGUAGUCCCAGCUACUUGGGAGGCUGAGAUGGAAGGAUUGCUUAAGCCCAGGAGGCGGAGGUUGCAGUGAGAGAUUACACCACUGCACUUCCGCCUGGGCAACAGAGCAAGACCCUGUCUCAU
ensembl:misc_RNA Metazoa_SRP Metazoan signal recognition particle RNA